AGAUGAUACAGCUUCAGCAACUGUUAGAAAGAUAUGGUCCUCCCCAAUUAGAUUAGCAACAUCAGAUGCGUGGAGUUUGUCAAUCACUACUGGCCCCGGGUUUGCCAAAACAAGCUGUUCAACAACACCACACAAACUUCUGAACGAGCACACGGAUUUGAUUGUUAGGUUUGUCUACUGUGGAGGAUUAUUUCUAAAUAUUUGGGAAGGUUGAGAGAGUACUCACGAGACAUCUCAACGAUCAAAAACUGAGUUUUUGGUGAA